AAAUGAAUAGACGGGGGCCCGCACAAGCAGCGGAGCAUGUUGCUUAAUUCGAGGCAACGCGAAGAACCUUACCUGGGUUUGACAUGGUAGGAAAAGCCAUAGAGAUAUGGUGUCCUUUUGGGCCUAUCACAGGUGGUGCAUGGCUGUCGUCAGCUCGUGUCGUGAGAUGUUGGGUUAAGUCCCGCAACGAGCGCAACCCUUGUCCUAUGUUGCCAGCACGUAGUGGUGGGGACUCGUAGGAGACUGCCGGGGUCAACUCGGAGGAAGGUGGGGACGACGUCAAGUCAUCAUGCCCCUUAUGUCCAGGGCUGCAAACAUGCUACAAUGGCUGGUACAAAGGGCUGCGAAACCGCGAGGUCGAGCGAAUCCCACAAAGCCAGUCUCAGUUCGGAUCGGAGUCUGCAACUCGACUCCGUGAAGCUGGAGUUGCUAGUAAUCCCGGAUCAGCAACGCCGGGGUGAAUACGUUCCCGGGCCUUGUACACACCGCCCGU
rnacentral:rRNA from 1 species